UGAAAACCCUCCAUCUUCCUGUCGCCGACGUCCGGGUGUGGGCGCCGCGCGUUGAUGCUGGUGGCUUCCAUCCUUGGUUCUUCUCCUUCCGCCACCGGUGCGCGCUCGCGCAAGUUUCCAUUUGCUGCUGCUGCUGCUGCUGCGGGUCGACCUGUGGGGGGUUAGAAUCGGCGAACUCUUCUGUUCCCCUUCCUUUGUUCUGCCUCUCUGUCUAUAAUGCUUCUUUCUCCUUUCCUUUGUUGCGUUGGUAUAUUUACUGUGUGAGUGGGGCACAGAGGACGGAGUUUUAAGCAAGCUGAAUUUGAAGUUUACCGAGCUCUUUUGAUAGAGCUCGACUGGGGAAAGGUCCUCCUCACAAGAUGUCUAGAGUAGAGGAAGACGAAGACGCGGAGAAGCGUCAUCAAUUGAAGCUUGAAGAAGCCCUAGAAAUCAAAUCGCUCAGGCGUAUAAUCAGUGCUUACCUCAACUAUCCUGAUGCUUCUGAAGAGGAUGUCAGAAGAUAUGAAAGAUCUUUCAGGAAACUUCCACCUGCACACAAGGCUUUAUUAUCUCAUUAUCCUCAGAAGAUUCAAAGGUUGCGCCGGU